GCUUGAGCCCAAACUGUCAGACAGAAUGAGAUAUGGGAGGAGAUCAGAGUGUGCAUGAACAGUAGGGCUGCCUGGUUAGGAAUAUGAUUUCUGAAUAAUUUGAAGCAGUUCAGAUGUUUUUUAACUGUAUUUGAAAUCUUCUUUAUGUGAAGAUUAAAUUUAAGUUGAGGGUCUAAGACACCAAGGUAGUUGUGGUGAUGCGAGUUUUUUCGUGUUUGUGUGAAACAUGUUUUAGUGUAUGUGCUUGUAUAUUGCGGGCUGCAAGUGUGUUUCAGGCUGGGCGGGGUUUUUGGACCGGAGAGGACUCAUUCACUCUCCUCCGCACCUGAUGUUCAUCGGUAAUCAGCGCUGGAUAAAGCCUGCCUCCACCUGUGCUCCAGCACCAGUUGAUUAUUCCUCCCUCAAGUGAGCCUCCCCGUCGGUUCAACGCCUCCCUGACCCUGCUUCUGCAGCCUAGCUCAGGUCUCAGCAGUUCUGCUUCCCAGAUCCUCUUGGAAACCUCUCCUGGAAUUCCCUCCCUCACUUGGCUACCCUCACAUGCUUCCUGGUGUCCCCCGUUUUCCCGCUGCCUCGAAUAAAUCCCUCUUUUCACA